rnacentral:rRNA from 5 species
AAAUUGAAGAGUUUGAUCAUGGCUCAGAUUGAACGCUGGCGGCAGGCCUAACACAUGCAAGUCGAACGGUAACAGGAAGCAGCUUGCUGCUUUGCUGACGAGUGGCGGACGGGUGAGUAAUGUCUGGGAAACUGCCUGAUGGAGGGGGAUAACUACUGGAAACGGUGGCUAAUACCGCAUAACGUCGCAAGACCAAAGAGGGGGACCUUCGGGCCUCUUGCCAUCAGAUGUGCCCAGAUGGGAUUAGCUUGUUGGUGAGGUAACGGCUCACCAAGGCGACGAUCCCUAGCUGGUCUGAGAGGAUGACCAGCCACACUGGAACUGAGACACGGUCCAGACUCCUACGGGAGGCAGCAGUGGGGAAUAUUGCACAAUGGGCGCAAGCCUGAUGCAGCCAUGCCGCGUGUAUGAAGAAGGCCUUCGGGUUGUAAAGUACUUUCAGCGGGGAGGAAGGUGUUGUGGUUAAUAACCACAGCAAUUGACGUUACCCGCAGAAGAAGCACCGGCUAACUCCGUGCCAGCAGCCGCGGUAAUACGGAGGGUGCAAGCGUUAAUCGGAAUUACUGGGCGUAAAGCGCACGCAGGCGGUCUGUCAAGUCGGAUGUGAAAUCCCCGGGCUCAACCUGGGAACUGCAUUCGAAACUGGCAGGCUUGAGUCUUGUAGAGGGGGGUAGAAUUCCAGGUGUAGCGGUGAAAUGCGUAGAGAUCUGGAGGAAUACCGGUGGCGAAGGCGGCCCCCUGGACAAAGACUGACGCUCAGGUGCGAAAGCGUGGGGAGCAAACAGGAUUAGAUACCCUGGUAGUCCACGCCGUAAACGAUGUCUACUUGGAGGUUGUGCCCUUGAGGCGUGGCUUCCGGAGCUAACGCGUUAAGUAGACCGCCUGGGGAGUACGGCCGCAAGGUUAAAACUCAAAUGAAUUGACGGGGGCCCGCACAAGCGGUGGAGCAUGUGGUUUAAUUCGAUGCAACGCGAAGAACCUUACCUGGUCUUGACAUCCACAGAACUUUCCAGAGAUGGAUUGGUGCCUUCGGGAACUGUGAGACAGGUGCUGCAUGGCUGUCGUCAGCUCGUGUUGUGAAAUGUUGGGUUAAGUCCCGCAACGAGCGCAACCCUUAUCCUUUGUUGCCAGCGGUUAGGCCGGGAACUCAAAGGAGACUGCCAGUGAUAAACUGGAGGAAGGUGGGGAUGACGUCAAGUCAUCAUGGCCCUUACGACCAGGGCUACACACGUGCUACAAUGGCGCAUACAAAGAGAAGCGACCUCGCGAGAGCAAGCGGACCUCAUAAAGUGCGUCGUAGUCCGGAUUGGAGUCUGCAACUCGACUCCAUGAAGUCGGAAUCGCUAGUAAUCGUGGAUCAGAAUGCCACGGUGAAUACGUUCCCGGGCCUUGUACACACCGCCCGUCACACCAUGGGAGUGGGUUGCAAAAGAAGUAGGUAGCUUAACCUUCGGGAGGGCGCUUACCACUUUGUGAUUCAUGACUGGGGUGAAGUCGUAACAAGGUAACCGUAGGGGAACCUGCGGUUGGAUCACCUCCUUACCUUAAAGAA